CAUGCAAGUCGAGCGGUAACAUUUCUAGCUUGCUAGAAGAUGACGAGCGGCGGACGGGUGAGUAAUGCUUGGGAACAUGCCUUGAGGUGGGGGACAACAGUUGGAAACGACUGCUAAUACCGCAUAAUGUCUACGGACCAAAGGGGGCUUCGGCUCUCGCCUUUAGAUUGGCCCAAGUGGGAUUAGCUAGUUGGUGAGGUAAUGGCUCACCAAGGCGACGAUCCCUAGCUGGUUUGAGAGGAUGAUCAGCCACACUGGGACUGAGACACGGCCCAGACUCCUACGGGAGGCAGCAGUGGGGAAUAUUGCACAAUGGGCGCAAGCCUGAUGCAGCCAUGCCGCGUGUGUGAAGAAGGCCUUCGGGUUGUAAAGCACUUUCAGUCAGGAGGAAAGGUUAGUAGUUAAUACCUGCUAGCUGUGACGUUACUGACAGAAGAAGCACCGGCUAACUCCGUGCCAGCAGCCGCGGUAAUACGGAGGGUGCGAGCGUUAAUCGGAAUUACUGGGCGUAAAGCGUACGCAGGCGGUUUGUUAAGCGAGAUGUGAAAGCCCCGGGCUCAACCUGGGAACUGCAUUUCGAACUGGCAAACUAGAGUGUGAUAGAGGGUGGUAGAAUUUCAGGUGUAGCGGUGAAAUGCGUAGAGAUCUGAAGGAAUACCGAUGGCGAAGGCAGCCACCUGGGUCAACACUGACGCUCAUGUACGAAAGCGUGGGGGAGCAAACAGGAUUAGAUACCCUGGUAGUCCACGCCGUAAACGAUGUCUACUAGAAGCUCGGAACCUCGGUUUCUGUUUUUCAAAGCUAACGCAUUAAGUAGACCGCCUGGGGAGUACGGGCCGCAAGGUUAAAACUCAAAUGAAUUGACGGGGGCCCGCACAAGCGGUGAGCAUGUGUUUAAUUCGAUGCAACGCGAAGAACCUUACCUACACUUGACAUACAGAGAACUUACUAGAGAUAGUUUGGUGCCUUCGGGAACUCUGAUACAGUGCUGCAUGGCUGUCGUCAGCUCGUGUUGUGAGAUGUUGGGUUAGUCCCGCAACGAGCGCACCCCUAUCCUUAGUUGCUAGCAGGUAAUGCUGAGACUCUAAGGAGACUGCCGGUGAUA
rnacentral:rRNA from 1 species